GAUUCAUGGGGGAAAUUGAUAAUCUCGAUCGGGUAAAAUUUGAUUUUGUGCGAAAACAUAAAAGAAAAGCGCUGGAACUUGUGAAAGAUCCCUUCCAUGGCGAGGCGAAUUUUCUCUCUCGUUUCGCGUUAUCGGUCCCAGACCUCUCUCCCCCAUGAGUGCACUUGCCAAAUCCACCCUUUUGCAAAUUCACGCUUCUUGACCGGACACAGAUUUUUGAGAAGAGGAAAUCAGACCAUCGCAAAUCCAGCAGUUGCUGAGGAUUCUAAAGACAAUGAAGAUAAUAAGCUGCAGCCCGUUUCUGACUCGAUCGAUCCCCUUGAUCAGGAAAAGAACGAUGAUAGUGCUGCUGUGAAGUAUUCUGUUAUCUCCAACUUAAAAAUGUCCCCUAGGCAUGACCUUGCCAUGAUAUUCACUUGCAAAGUGUGUGAGACUAGAUCAAUCAAGACAGUUUGCCGCUCAUCAUACGAGAAGGGCGUGGUAGUGGCCCGUUGCGGUGGAUGCAACAACCUACACCUGAUUGCAGACCAUCUGGGGUGGUUUGGCGAGCCAGGCAGCAUCGAAGACUUCCUGGCUGCUCGUGGUGAGGAAGUCCGAAAAGGUUCUGUUGAUUCACUGAGUCUUACACUUGAUGAUUUGGCUGGAAAGAAAUCCUGAUAUUUUGGAACUUCACUACAAUCUCAUAGCAUUUGAGCUAGAAUGGAGCGAGUCUUGUGUACGUGUACGUGGACGUGGACUAGUUUUAGUUUGAAACUAGAAAGUUAGAAACUACUUUUUAGCUGUAUGUGAUGGGGUCAGAUAAAGAGGUUUCAAGGGGCUGUGAUUCCACUGGGCAAAGUUUGAGUUUGGGAAUGUGCUGCUGCCUGAAGCAGAUGCUUUCUCUUAAGGUUACGGUUUUCAAUUAAACAACUCCGGCGGCCAUGAAUGAGCUACAGAUGACCGCAGACUACCUUGAAUAUCCAUUAUUCUAUCAGCAAUUUGUGCAUGAAAUAUGUUGCAAACGUAAUAGAAAGCAUGCAUAUAUUAAUAUAAGUUUUAAAGUAUACAAAA